AAUAGCCUGUCUGUAUAGCGGUAGUAGUAGUCCACGUCUAGUAGUUAAGUUCUCUAUGAGAGCGCUCAAAAUCACGUCCAUUUGGAACGAUGACUAGGCAGAGGCUCCGACCUUAGGGUAAGACGGGCAGGCGUGAGGCGCCGAGGGCCAGCAGGAACGAAGCCCGGAGGGACAGAUCCCUUUGUACCGCCACUGAGUUAGGCUGUGACUACUCCAGGAAAGAUCGGACCUCUACAACACAGACGCAGGUGUUGCUUGGUGACAGGCCUCCUUAACACCCCAAACACGUGAGUGCCACAUCUGUAUUACGAGGGGUUGAUUGCCCUAAUUAGCAUAAUUCAUAAUUAGUGAUAACGUUAUAUUGAUACAUUGUGUAAUAGUUAGUAGUGUUACGCACGUCUUAAGUUUAUUAUGUAUGUCUUCAGGUUUGACCGAAUGCAAUAAACGAUUCGCGUCACCGUGUGGGUCUAACAUCCUUCAGUUGCCUUCGGGCAGCUACAUAACCAUUGCUGUUGCCUGUUAUUGUUAUUGUUGUUACCAUUACUCUCCCUUAUUCCUGUUAUUUUACUUACAGUAUUCACGAUAAAAAAAAAUGGAUACUCUCAUUUUCUCGAGAAUUUUAAGGGAGACGAAAAAAACUUUCUCAAAUUAUGCAGAACCGUAAGAACACAAAAAACACAAGGUAGUCCGCCAUCAGCCAUCAUGUCUACACUACACGUGGCAGUGUUAUACAGAACGUAAAACAUGUCUGCCUGUUUCCACCUGCCAUCCUCCUCCAUAAACUUGCUUAAUCUUUUAAAACUCCUUAAUGACGCAGCACUAACAGCUUAAUUACUGAGUCUGUUCCAUUCAUCCACCGCUUCUCUCAUCUCAAACUUGGAUCCAUUGUUUCUUGCCCUAUCCUGAUUACUGACCCUGAGGAUUUUGCUACUAUCACCCUUAAAGACCUCUAUCAGAUCCCCUCUUAACCUACGCCUCUCUUAGGAAUAUCAAUUUAAAGGCUUGAAUCCCCUAUGAAAUUUAACCUAACCUAAUCUAAACCUAUUCUAACCUAAACCUAACCUAACCCUCUAAUGAAAACAGUAAUAUUAAUUCAAAAUGAUCCAAAAACAAUAAAAAGCGAGAAACACAACAAGCUUCUCGUUAGAACUGUACUGCUGAACCAACCAACGCUCCUUGCUGUGGGUCUGCUUCUUCAGUCGGUCUCAGGACGCGGAACGGGGAGGAUGUGACGCUGACUUCAACACCAAGAUCAAGAUUACUUCAAUAUCCUCCAGCACAGAGUCGCGUGGAUGCUGGUGUGUUGAGGCAAAGACGAGGUGUUGUAAGGGUAUGGCGAGACUGUGGUGGCUGUGGUGGUGCCAAGUGGUGUUGUUUAAAGGAGUCUGCCUUGGAAGUGAAGAUUUGCGGUUCCCCGUUUUCUUUAAGCCAGCUAUUCUUCGUUUUCUUCUCAUCCCUACUUGUGUUGUAUCUUUUUCUCCUCCUCUCCCGUUUUUCUGUUUCAUUUUCCAGUCAUCAUAUUCCUCCUACUUCGAUUUCACUUCCUCCUCCUCCCCUUUUCAACGGUUUCUUCCCCUCCUCCACUCCUAGACACGUACACACACACCAGAAGAACAAGAAGGUGGACGUGACUUUUCCUACGCGGCUUAUGACUCCCACGGUAACCAGGUGACUGAACACUAUUGCCCUCCUGCAGCGCCUCCGUCACGUCAUUUCUCUGUGUUUGGCUUCCUGGGUAUGGUCGUGUCCUUGGCCGCCACCACAGCUAACAUCCUUAACGCCAUCAAUAAUAACAACAAUAACAACAACAACAAUGAUAAUAACGAUAAUAAUAACAAUAACAAUGAUCUGAAUGCUAUUGAAGGUGGUGGUAUGGAAGAUCCCAUGGUGGUUCAGGCGCCAGUCCAAGUGAACAGAGUGGGUCAGCAAAAUGCGCAGGGUGAUUUGGGGACGGAUGGCAUGCCCGUUCUUGGUUCCCCAGCGUCAUCCCGCUCUCUCUUCCCUCGUCACAGUUCGCUAGCUAAGAUAAAUGCCUUGAACAAAACUACUAUGCAAACUUCUUCGUCUUCCCGGCCCAAACAGUAUUUCAGACCGUUCUUUUACCAGCACACGCCGCCAUCACCGCUUGUCUAACUCAAAUAUCUUAAAUAUUUCUACUAUGUACACUUCGCCUACCAAAACAGACAGCAUUUUAAAUCGUUCUUCUAUCACCACACACCCGCCGCCACCGCUCUGUCUCACUAGCUAACUCAAAUACCUUCAACAGUACUUCCAACACGCCCCCGCCGUCACCUUCCAUCACCUACCAAACCAAAGAUAAUUUUAAACAGUUUCUCCACAAGCCACAACCACCGCUCUGCCCCGCUAGCUAAUUCAGAUACCUUAAACAACACUUCCAACACGCCCUACUAUCUUCCUCCUUCGUCUACUGACCUAAACACUAAUUUCAACCACCACCAUCACCACCACCAAGCUUCGGUCGACUCAAACACCACAUCAACCACUCCCUUCAACACCACACACCAUAACCUCCUCGCUAUCCUUAACCCAGACACUUUGAGCCGUAAAACUAUCAUUGUACGCCACCACCACGACCUGCCAGCCUUGCCUCCCAUUAAUGCAAUCUUCAAAGGAGGUACUGUCACCGCGCUGCACCGCCAGGCACACGCACACGCUAGAACGCACACAAAUCAGCUGGCGGGGAGACGGGGGGACGCAAAGACAGUUCCCAGCACUCACGCCUUCACGCGCCAACGCCAUGCAAUCUCUUCUUCUCCAAACAUAAUCAUGAACGGUACUUCCACUGCGCAUCACCAUCACGGCACAACACACACUAAUGUAACACUCCCACAACCGCGUGGAGAAGAAGAGCACGCAAUAGAUAACACUAAAACGCACGCAGACUUGGAAAAAAGAGCAUAUUUUAACAUCUUACUCAACGCACACGCAACGCACUCAAACGCAACGAGCUCACGUAACGUAAAACCAAGAGGAACGCACUUAAACCUACUCCCUGACACUCCUACCUCUUGUAACUGCCUAAAGAAGAGGAAAAAGAGGAAGAGGAGUGAAGCAUCCAUUCUUAAUCGCAGUACAGGGAGAAAGAAAACGUGCGCUACCAUACAGAAGGAAAAUGGGAGAGAGGUGAAGCAAAUUUAUCGCAAGACCGGCCGUGCGUCGCUUAAAUUACAAGAUUAUAAGAGAGGACGAGGAGAAGCAGGAAGAAGAGAACGAGGAGGUGGAGGAGGGUGGAAGAGGCAACUGGGACGUGAGAUGGUCCGAGUGGCGUGUCAAGAGGACGGUUCUGGCCAUUACUCCUUCAGCGCCUUCGCCAGGAUAGCAACGGUCCUGGUGGGGAGGCGGCUUCUGGGCACCUCGUAUACGGACAUCCACGCCCUGCCCUCACCCUCCUGCAUCUUCCCUACGUAAAGAAUAGCGGCUGAAGCUGAGAAUAUUCAUAAACAGAUCAAUGGAAUCUUCCCUACAUGGUUGAAACUUGAAAUAUUCGUAAACAGAUUAAUUACAUCUUCAUAUUGUCUUUCAUUUCAGUCCUUCCUCGUGUUACAAAGGUUUGUGAAGGAAAGCCAAGCAGCAUCAGACCUUUUGGCUCUUGCAAGGUUGUUCAGUUAUACUCGUAGUGGAUAAAUGUAAAAGUGAAGGAAAGAUUGCUAUUGUGGUUUACAGAGGGGAAAUAAAAACUAAAAAACAAA